rnacentral:rRNA from 1 species
GCAUAUCAAUAAGCGGAGGAAAAGAAACCAACAGGGAUUGCCUCAGUAACGGCGAGUGAAGCGGCAAAAGCUCAAAUUUGAAAUCUGGCCUCUUUGAGGUCCGAGUUGUAAUUUGAAGAAGCGACUCUGGUACCGGCCCUUGUCUAUGUUCCUUGGAACAGGACGUCACAGAGGGUGAGAAUCCCGUGCGAUGAGGGUGCCGGGUGCCAUGUAGAGCGUUUUCGACGAGUCGAGUUGUUUGGGAAUGCAGCUCUAAGUGGGUGGUAAAUUCCAUCUAAAGCUAAAUAUUGGCGAGAGACCGAUAGCGAACAAGUACAGUGAUGGAAAGAUGAAAAGAACUUUGAAAAGAGAGUGAAAAAGUACGUGAAAUUGUUGAAAGGGAAGGGCUUGGGAUCAGACAUUGUAUUUCCAUGGCGCUCUUUCGGGGGUGUCCUCUGGGUUUACAGGGCCAGCAUGGGUUCUGCGGGCAAGACGAGGGCUCCAGGAAUGUGACUCUGCUGCGGCGGAGUGUUAUAGCCUGGGGACGCCGGUUGCCACGCGGGACUGAGGACUGCGAAUUCUAGGAUGCUGGCAUAAUGAUCUUAAGUCGCCCGUCUUGAAACACGGACCA